rnacentral:piRNA from 1 species
UCCUUCUUGACAGGCUGAUUUAGGGG